UUGCUUUGGCAGCACAUGUACUAAAAUUAGAAUGCUACAGAGAAGAUUAGCAUGGUCCCUGUGCAAGGAUGGCACGCAAAUUUGUGAAGCGUUCCAUUUUUUU